CGCUCUUCCCUUCCCUCGGGCCAGAUCCGCCUCUCGUGGCCCCGAGAGCUCAGCCACGACCCCUUCUGAUGGCUAGGGUUCCGAGGGUGGCGUCCCCUCCAACUCCGGCGCGGCGACGGCGACUCUGCUCCGCCCUCUCCGAAGCCCACCGCAAGUCCCAUGGGCGGCUCCGCCUCGUGGAUGGUACUCCUGCACCCGGUGGCUGCGGGGCGGACGCGCGCAGCGGGUAAACUCCGGCGAGGCGGUGGCUCCCUCCGGCGGCUCCCGCCACGGCAUGACGGCGGUGCACUGCAUCGGCUAAAGCACCACCAUGGUUGACAAAAAUGCUCUGCAUCUUGAGAAGCAAAUAUCUUAAAACUUUGACUUGGAUCUCGACGGCGACGGCAUCCAACGAACACAAGGUCGCUCCCAACCAACAAGUUUUUUUCUUCCAAGUUAAUAAUGUGGAUUGUGAUGUUUAUCUGUGCACUGAUUUUCAGAGUGGAUGGCCGUACCAUUUAAUUUUGAUUACUAGCACUAGUAGUUGUAUUCAGUGUGAGCUGGAAGACUAACUGAUUCAGUUUUCGAAGCCAUCUUUGCUGUUC